GCCAGCCGCACAUCAAAGAUGCAGAGCCUUAUAACAAAAAUCGCCACUGAGAAGCUGAGCACCUACGCUGCGGUCAUAUCUAUCUUCACCUACACUAUUUUGCUCAACAGGGAUUUAGCCUGCACCUGCGAACCACAAGCCUCGAACUGCAACCUGUACAUGCUUCUGCCACCCGUUAUCAUUUUUUAAUUAAUACUUUUGUUGGACAGCUCGUUCCAAAGCGUCUGUAGAUACUAUUCCUCACAUUGUAAAUGCCCCUGCGGUCUUUGCUGUUUUUAUGCCCAUCAUUUUUUAAGGGCAUUUUUAGUCGGCUUGCUGUGGGUUGCUUUUUUGUUCCUCGAUGGAGACUGGUAUGUUUGCUGUCAGAAUGACGGCUCUGAACAACAGGCAACGUUAGCCUGCAAAGCUGAGAAGGAUAUCAAAGUCAACGAGAAAGUUCUUAAAUCUGAACUGAAGACAACAUCCCGGUUUAUCGGUGGCUGGAUUCUAUUUGGAAUUAUUUUAGGGGCUUUUGUCUUGCCAUUGUGUGUCAGAUCGAAAUGCUGUGGGGAAAAAAAACAUUCUGCCAACAAAAGAUUUCUGUAUGACAAACUGAUCAUAAUAGAGGAGGGCAAUGUGCUGAAAGAGGUUCUGAGGAAUUCAGCAAAGGAGAAGUUGACUGAAGGAAUCCAGAGCAAAAUCCGUGACAAACGAAGGGAAGAGUGUUUCGAUGUUGCCAGAGAGCUGAUUGAAAAAGACCCGCGAAAAGAGGAGCACCAACCGCUAGGGGCACAAGAACCAGUCCAGUUGAUACGCAUCAUGUCUGUUCCUGCCGGUGCCGACUAGACUGGACGAUCAUUGAGGAGGCACACCUGGAAGAGUUCUGUCUCUCCAUGGAUCAUGAUCUGUUGCUGACUACAGAGCUUAAGUGAAGUCAGCAGCUCCCAGUAUGACUGGAAAAUGUUAUAGAUGCCAUUGCUCCCACCAGGGUAAAGGAAGUGUCUGGCAAGAAAAUAUCUCCAUGCAGAAAGGCCAUGACCUGCUAAAUGCAGGUGGCGAAAAACAAAUCUCCAUUUUGAAAUCUAUAAAGAGACACUUGGCAUUUAUAAUUUGGAAUUGAAAAAUGCAUAAAAGUCUUUCUUCUCUGACAUCAUUGCCAAAAACAAAAACAACGCACGUGCCUUGUUUGCUACCGUUGACAGACUAACUAACCCCCCAGUGUCAGUAGCCUCUGAAUUUAUCCACCAGGGCGUACAAUGAUUUUGCCUCCUUCACUGAAACAUUCAGAAAAUCAGACAAGCAGUCAGUGCCUCUGCAUCAGGAACAGCAUAUGUGUUGUCUCUGUGUUCACUUCAAAUCAAUUCAAACACCAUGACACAAUUCCAUCAUUAAUGAUAAAAACCUAGAGGACAUUAUACAACUUCUGAAAUCCUCCUCCUGCUGCCUUGAUAUUAUUCCAACAGGAUUUUUUUCAAAAAUGUUUUUCAUUGCAUGGCCUCAGAUCUACAUCAAAUAGUAAACAAUAGGGAUGGGAAUCACCAGGCUUACUUUCUUUCAUUGCAAUUGUAUACAUGUCUUAACGUAACUUCCUGUUUUAUAUAGACAUGCUUUUAUUUUGAAGGCGACUUUGCGCUAUUAGCAGGAAGUUACUGUUCCCAAAGCAACAACUUGACGGAGAAAAAGAACGGAGAUAAAGUACAGAUAUUAACGGAGAUAUCAACAUUUAAAUACGGCGGUAUCAAAAGAUAAAGUUUACAUUUAAGUAUCGGGGACCGAAGAGGCACAAGGUUAGUGUUAACUGUAAUGUAAAAAUGUGGUGUGUGUGUGUCUUAAUUCAUUUAUACUGUAUUAUAACUUUGCUAACUAUUUGAAGUUCACUUGUUUAAUGGUAUUCUAAAGUAAUGCUCGGAUGUAGCUUAAAUGUAUUUGUUGUUUUGAGUCUUUGUGUAGCUCUUACGUUGGUUUUUGGAGUUUUCAAUAAAUACAAAAUCAUCAGUCAA